GUCUAUGGCCAUACCACCCUGAACUCGCCUGAUCUCGUCUGAUCUCGGAAGCUAAGCAGGGUCGGGCCUGGUUAGUACUUGAAUGGGAGACCGCCUGGGAAUACCAGGUGCUGUAGGCU
ensembl:rRNA 5S_rRNA 5S ribosomal RNA